rnacentral:rRNA from 1 species
UACGGAGGGGGCAAGCGUUGUUCGGAAUUACUGGGCGUAAAGGGCUCGCAGGCGGCCGACUAAGUCAGACGUGAAAUCCCUUGGCUUAACCAAGGAAUGGCGUCUGAUACUGGACGGCUUGAAUUCGGGAGAGGGAUGUGGAAUUCCAGGUGUAGCGGUGAAAUGCGUAGAUAUCUGGAGGAACACCGGUGGCGAAGGCGGCAUCCUGGACCGAUAUUGACGCUGAGGAGCGAAAGCCAGGGGAGCAAACGGG